rnacentral:rRNA from 1 species
CGCGUAGGUGGUCUUGUAAGUUGGGAGUGAAAUUCCGGAGCUUAACUCUGGAGCUGCUUUCAAUACUGCUUGACUGGAGUGUAAAGUAGGAUAGCGGAAUUCCUAGUGUAGAGGUGAAAUUCGUAGAUAUUAGGAGGAACACCAGCAGCGAAGGCGGCUAUCUGGGUUAUUACUGACACUGAGGCGCGAAAGCGUGGGGAGCAAACA